AUGUCACAAAGUAGUGAUUCAUAAUGUUAUUAGCUGUUUGAGACACUCCUGUGUUGUAACUUCCGUUGGUUUCAUUGGUUCAUUUGAUAAGUAGCAAUCUCACAUCAACCUUAGGGGCUUUAGGGUAAAGUGACAAAGCAUUGGUCAUAAUAAAAUAUAUGAUGCAGUAUCACAGGCAUUCAUCUUUUAAAUCUAUACCCUACAUAGUUUACAUGCUCUGUGUUUUGGAAUUUGGAUUUACUUAUCUGUUUAUCAUUAUCAAUAUGCCUUUAGUAUGCUGCUAAAGUCUAAAAAUAGUUGAUCAUGUCGCAAGUAACUGUGAUAUCACAUGCUUCAUUUCUGUGCCUACCAUGGUGACCACGGGUAACGGGGAAUCAGGGUUCAAUUCCAGAGAGGGAGCCUGAGAAACGUCUACGACAUGCAAGGGAGGCAGCAUGCGCUCAAAUGACCCACUCCCGACGUGGAUAGGUAGUGACGACAAAUAACAAUACAGGACUCUUUAGAGGCCCUGUAAUUGUAAUGAGUCAACUUGAAAUACUUUAACUAUGAUCAAUUGGAGGGCAAGUCAGGUGCAGAGCGACUGACCAGUGCGUGCUGCAGCUGAAACUCCACUAUCGCCUGCUGCUG